GUGGGGAAUAUUGGGCAAUGGGGGAAACCCUGACCCAGCGACGCCGCGUGAGGGAAGACGGCCUUCGGGUUGUAAACCUCUUUUGUACGGGAAGAAGGAAGUGACGGUACUGUACGAAUAAGUCCCGGCUAACUACGUGCCAGCAGCCGCGGUAAUACGUAGGGGACGAGCGUUGUCCGGAAUUACUGGGCGUAAAGGGCGCGCAUGCUGUGCUGCAAGUCAGCUGUGAAAUGUCUGGGCUUAACCCGGGCAUGCGGUUGAGACUGCAGUGCUGGAGUGCUGUAGAGGCAAGUGGAAUUCCCAGUGUAGCGGUGAAAUGCGUAGAUAUUGGGAAGAACACCGGUGGCGAAGGCGACUUGCUGGGCAGCAACUGACGCUGAGGCGCGAAAGCCAGGGGAGCAAACGGGAUUAGAUACCCUGGUAGUCC
rnacentral:rRNA from 1 species